GGUCAAGUGACUAAGUGCAUGUGGUGGAUGCCUUGGCGAUCACAGGCGAUGAAGGACGUGCGAGCCUGCGAAAAGCUCCGGGGAGCUGGCAACGAAGCUUUGAUCCGGAGAUGUCCGAAUGGGGAAACCCACCCUUCGGGGUACCCUGUCCUGAAUACAUAGGGGCAGUGGAGCGAACCGGGUGAACUGAAACAUCUCAGUAGCUCGAGGAAAAGAAAUCAACCGAGAUUCCCAAAGUAGUGGCGAGCGAAAUGGGACGAGCCUGCGCGAUUUAGCGGAACUGUUAGAAGAACGGAUUGGAAACUCCGGCCAUAGAGGGUGAUAGCCCCGUAUUUGAAAACAGAUUUGUGGAACUAGGCGCGCGACAAGUAGGGCGGGACACGUGUAAUCCUGUCUGAAGAUGGGGGGACCAUCCUCCAAGGCUAAAUACUCGUGAUCGACCGAUAGUGAACCAGUACCGUGAGGGAAAGGCGAAAAGAACCCCGGGAGGGGAGUGAAAUAGAUCCUGAAACCGCAUGCAUACAAACAGUGGGAGCCCCUGCUUCAAGCGUCUUCAGUUCUUUGCCGUCCGAGCGCGUAGCGCGAGACACGGCAAAAGGGCUAAAGGGAGUGGAGUAGGUGACUACAACGCGUAGCGUUGUGGUCAGCCCUGCAAAAACACCCGGAGGGUGUUUGAAGCAGGGGUGACUGCGUACCUUUUGUAUAAUGGGUCAGCGACUUACGUUCAGUUGCGAGCUUAACCGAAUAGGGGAGGCGCAGCGAAAGCGAGUCUGAACAGGGCGUUCAGUAGCUGGGCGUAGACCCGAAACCGGAUGAUCUAUCCAUGGCCAGGUUGAAGGUGCGGUAACACGCACUGGAGGACCGAACCCACUAGUGUUGCAAAACUAGGGGAUGAGCUGUGGAUAGGGGUGAAAGGCUAAACAAAUCCGGAGAUAGCUGGUUCUCCUCGAAAGCUAUUUAGGUAGCGCCUCGUGUAUCACUCUCGGGGGUAGAGCACUGUAAUGGUUGGGGGGGUCGUCUAGACCUACCCCGCCAUAGCAAACUCCGAAUACCGAGAAGUGCGAGCACGGGAGACAGACGGUGGGUGCUAACGUCCAUCGUCAAGAGGGAAACAACCCAGACCCACAGCUAAGGUCCCCAAUGAUGUGCUAAGUGGAAAACGAAGUGGGAAGGCAUAGACAGCCAGGAAGUUGGCUUAGAAGCAGCCAUCCUUUAAAGAAAGCGUAAUAGCUCACUGGUCGAGUCGUCCUGCGCGGAAGAUGUAACGGGGCUAAGCACAUAACCGAAGCUUGGGAUGCGUACUUGUACGCAUGGUAGAGGAGCGUUCCGUAGGCCUGUGAAGGUGUCCUGUGAGGGAUGCUGGAGGUAUCGGAAGCGCGAAUGCUGACAUGAGUAGCGAUAAAACGGGUGAAAGUCCCGUUCGCCGGAAGCCCAAGGUUUCCUGCGCAACGUUCAUCGGCGCAGGGUGAGUCGGCCCCUAAGGCGAGGCAGAGAUGCGUAGCUGAUGGGAAACAGGUCAAUAUUCCUGUACCGCUAUCCAAUGCGAUGGGGGGACGGAGAAAGGUAGGCCAGCCAGGUGUUGGAUGUCCUGGUUUAAGCGUGUAGGCGUGCCCCUUAGGCAAAUCCGGGGGGCUAAGCUGAGGCGUGAUGACGAGGCACUACGGUGCUGAAGUGGUUGAUCCUAUGCUUCCAAGAAAAGCCUCUAAGCUUCAGUUGGAUAGUGACCGUACCGCAAACCGACACAGGUGGGCAGGGUGAGAAUCCUAAGGCGCUUGAGAGAACUCUGGAGAAGGAACUCGGCAAAUUGACACCGUAACUUCGGGAUAAGGUGUGCCUCUAUUACGUGAAGACCCUUGCGGUUGGAGCGGAAAGAGGUUGCAGUGAAAAGGUGGCUGCGACUGUUUAACAAAAACACAGCACUGUGCAAACACGAAAGUGGACGUAUACGGUGUGACGCCUGCCCGGUGCCGGAAGGUUAAGUGAUGGGGUGCAAGCUCUUGAUCGAAGCCCCGGUAAACGGCGGCCGUAACUAUAACGGUCCUAAGGUAGCGAAAUUCCUUGUCGGGUAAGUUCCGACCCGCACGAAUGGCGUAACGAUGGCCACACUGUCUCCUCCAGAGACUCAGCGAAAUUGAAGUGUUUGUGAAGAUGCAAUCUCCCCGCGGCUAGACGGAAAGACCCCAUGAACCUUUACUGUAGCUUUGCAUUGGACUUUGACGGGACUUGUGUAGGAUAGGUGGGAGGCUGUGAAGCAGGGACGCCAGUUCUUGUGGAGCCACCCUUGAAAUACCACCCUGGUGUCGUUGAGGUUCUAACCUGGACCCCUUAUCGGGGUCGGGGACCGUGCAUGGUAGGCAGUUUGACUGGGGCGGUCUCCUCCCAAAAGGUAACGGAGGAGCACGAAGGUUGGCUAGACACGGUCGGAAAUCGUGUUGAUAGUGCAAGGGCAUAAGCCAGCUUAACUGCGAGACCCACAAGUCGAGCAGAUGCGAAAGCAGGUCCUAGUGAUCCGGUGGUUCUGUAUGGAAGGGCCAUCGCUCAACGGAUAAAAGGUACUCUGGGGAUAACAGGCUGAUUCCGCCCAAGAGUUCACAUCGACGGCGGAGUUUGGCACCUCGAUGUCGGCUCAUCUCAUCCUGGGGCUGUAGCCGGUCCCAAGGGUAUGGCUGUUCGCCAUUUAAAGAGGUACGUGAGCUGGGUUCAAAACGUCGUGAGACAGUUUGGUCCCUAUCUGCCGUGGGCGCUGGAGAUUUGACGGGGCUGCUCCUAGUACGAGAGGACCGGAGUGGACGCACCUCUGGUGUACCGGUUAUCACGCCAGUGGUAUCGCCGGGUAGCUAAGUGCGGAAGAGAUAAACGCUGAAAGCAUCUAAGCGUGAAACUCGCCUGAAGAUGAGAUCUCCCGGAGGCUUGACCUCCUUGAAGGGUCGUUGAAGACCACAACGUUGAUAGGCUGGGUGUGGAAGCGCGGUAACGCGUUAAGCUAACCAGUACUAAUUGCCCGUACGGCUUGACCCU
rnacentral:rRNA from 1 species